GAUGAACGCUGGCGGCGUGCUUAACACAUGCAAGUCGAACGGAAAGGCCAGUGCUUGCACUGGUGCUCGAGUGGCGAACGGGUGAGUAACACGUGGGUGAUCUGCCCUGCACUUUGGGAUAAGCCUGGGAAACUGGGUCUAAUACCAGAUAGGACCAUGCUUUGGAUGGUGUGGUGGAAAGUUUUUUCGGUGUGGGAUGAGCUUGCGGCCUAUCAGCUUGUUGGUGGGGUAAUGGCCUACCAAGGCGUCGACGGGUAGCCGGCCUGAGAGGGUGUACGGCCACAUUGGGACUGGGAUACGGCCCAGACUCCUACGGGAGGCAGCAGUGGGGAAUAUUGCACAAUGGGCGCAAGCCUGAUGCAGCGACGCCGCGUGGGGGAUGACGGCCUUCGGGUUGUAAACUCCUUUCGCAACUGACGAAGCUUUUUGUGACGGUAGGUUGAGAAGAAGCACCGGCUAACUACGUG
rnacentral:rRNA from 1 species